UACGAAGGACCCGAGCGUUAUCCGGAUUUAUUGGGUUUAAAGGGUGCGUAGGCGGACAUGCAAGUCAGUGGUGAAAUCUCCCUGCUUAACAGGGAAACUGCCAUUGAAACUAUGUGUCUUGAGUACAUUUGAGGCGGGCGGAAUGUGUCAUGUAGAGGUGAAAUUCUUAGAUAUGACACAGAACACCAAUUGCGAAGGCAGCUCGCUAAACUGUAACUGACGCUGAGGCACGAAAGUGUGGGUAGCAAACAGG
rnacentral:rRNA from 1 species